UACAGAGGGGGCAAGCGUUAUUCGGAAUUAUUGGGCGUAAAGGGCGCGUAGGCGGCCUGGCAAGUGGAAGGUGAAAUCCCUCGGCUUAACCGAGGAACUGCCCUCCAAACUGCUUGGCUUGAGUCCGGGAGAGGUGAGUGGAAUUCCCGGUGUAGUGGUGGAAUGCGUAGAUAUCGGGAGGAACACCAGUGGCGAAGGCGGUUGCCUGGGGCUUUGCUGACGCUGAUGCGCGAAAGCGUGGGGAGCGAUCCGG
rnacentral:rRNA from 1 species